rnacentral:rRNA from 1 species
UGUUGUUUUUCUGAAAAUCAAUUUAAGAACUGUUCAUUUUUAGUUGUUAAGACUUUAUCGGCUUUCUGCUAUUUUUUGGAUUUUUCUUGAAUGCACUUUUCAGUUAACAAGUCAACAUCAAUUUCUUUUGUUGUAAAACGGUAAGAGGAAGGUGGCUUUAUCUUCGGAUGAAGUGUUUAUAGCCUCUUACUUCUGCAACCGGAGAGAUUGAGGUCUGCAGCGUAGACCCUUCGGGGUUAGAUACUUCUAUGCUAAGCUAUAGUCCUAUAUAGACAACUUGUUGACUAUGUUCGAUCCUGUAACUUACUCGUAGAUACUAUUUUACCUAC